rnacentral:tRNA from 1 species
GCGCGACUAGCUCAGAUGGUUAGAGCAUCACGUUGACAUCGUGGGGGUCACUAGUUCGAUUCUAGUGCCGCGCA